rnacentral:rRNA from 1 species
AUUGAACGCUGGCGGCAUGCUUUACACAUGCAAGUCGAACGGCAGCGCGGGCUUCGGCCUGGCGGCGAGUGGCGAACGGGUGAGUAAUGCAUCGGAACGUGCCCAGUAGUGGGGGAUAGCCCGGCGAAAGCCGGAUUAAUACCGCAUCCGACCUGAGGGUGAAAGCGGGGGUCCGAAAGGCCUCGCGCUAUUUGCUCGGCCGAUGUCGGAUUAGCUAGUUGGUGGGGUAAAGGCUUACCAAGGUGACGAUCCGUAGCUGGUCUGAGAGGACGACCAGCCACACUGGAACUGAGACACGGCCCAGACUCCUACGGGAGGCAGCAGUGGGGAAUUUUGGACAAUGGGGGCAACCCUGAUCCAGCCAUGCCGCGUGCGGGAAGAAGGCCUUCGGGUUGUAAAACGCUUUUGUUCGGGAAGAAAUCCUCUGGGCUAAUACCCCGGGGGGAUGACGGUACCGGAAGAAUAAGCACCGGCUAACUACGUG